rnacentral:rRNA from 1 species
AGCUCCAAUAGCGUAUAUUAAAGUUGUUGCAGUUAAAAAGCUCGUAGUUGAAUGUCUGGUGCGUGCGUGCGGGCCGCUUCACUGCGGCGCUGUUGCGUGCGCGCCAUCCGCGCGGGGGGGCUUGCUCUCCUGCGCCAGCUACUGUGAGAAAAUUAGAGUGAUCAAAGCAGGCUUACGCCUUGCAUAUGUUAGCAUGGAAUAGCAAUUUAGGACCUUGGUCUAUUUUGUUGGUUGCGGUCCGAGGUAAUGUUUAAUGGGGAUAGUUGGGGGCACUCAUAUUCAACUGUCAGAGGUGAAAUUCUUGGAUUUGUUGAAGAUGAACAACUGCGAAAGCAUCUGCCUGGGAUGUUUUCA